rnacentral:rRNA from 1 species
UACGGAGGGCGCAAGCGUUGUGCGGAAUUACUGGGCGUAAAGCGCGUGUAGGCGGCCAGGUAAGUCGGAUGUGAAAGCCCGGUGCCCAACCCCGGAACUGCACCCGAUACUGCCUGGCUGGAGUCCCGGAGAGGAUGGCGGAAUUUCCGGUGUAGAGGUGAAAUUCGUAGAUAUCGGAAGGAACACCAGUGGCGAAGGCGGCCAUCUGGACGGUGACUGACGAUGAGACGCGAAAUCGUGGGGAGCAAACAGG